ACGCUCGACACCUACGGGGCAGCAGUGGGGAAUAUUGCACAAUGGGGGAAACCCUGAUGCAGCGACGCCGCGUGAAGGAAGAAGUAUCUCGGUAUGUAAACUUCUAUCAGCAGGGAAGAAAGUGACGGUACCUGACUAAGAAGCCCCGGCUAACUACGUGCCAGCNCGCCGUAGUAUGNGNGGCGNGNGAGACG
rnacentral:rRNA from 1 species